CCACUGACUUCUGCCAAUGGAGCUAAAAGGACUCAGGCCAGUUAUAUCUGCCAAAGGCACAGAAGUAUUCAGGUACUUCUGAUAGCUGCAAGAAAAUAGGAGGAUUUAAGGCCAAAGAAGAAUCCUGACAGCUUCAGCUGAAAUACUCAGGUAUGGGGCAUAAGCUAUGACAGAGAUGUAGCCAUUUGUGUUCUGUGAUCUUUCCAGAUCAAGUCAUCCUGUGAAAGGAGCAGCAUAAUACAGUAACUGACUUCCUCCCUUUCUCUUUCUGUUCUAAAAGCUUAACCAAUAAAAGAUUUUUGGCCCAGGAUAUGGUAAGCACUGGAGAAGGAAUAUUUUUUAUACCCAUUGGUUUCUUUCAAAUUAUAUUUAAAUGAUUUUUUUCCAUUUCAAGUAAAUAAACAUAGACAUUGAUUUCAGUAUGCAGACAGGCAACUCUUAGGAUUUUUGCCAUCAAACACUUACUGAUGGAGAAAUGAGCACAAAGGAAAUAUUUCCCAGAAACUGCUUAUGAAAUUAAACAGUGUUUGAAUGAAGAAGUCAAGGAAUUUCAAAUCAAAUCAAAUCAAAUCAAAUCAGGUAGUUGAAAGCAGAGGUGGUACAAUUGAAAACAGUAUAGGGAAAAAAUAUCCAAUGAUUUGCCACAAAUAAUUUGCCCAGAUCUAUGCUGUAUGGUCUUGUAAGUGAGGAGACAUUUCCUUAUGGGAAUUACACCACAGUUUAGCCCCUUAUACCUUAUCCUGUCCCUCUCUCCCUUCUAUGUCUCUCAUGUCAGUUGUCAUUCUAGCUGUUGUUGGGAAAAAGAAGCUGAGAAGUGGCUGCCAUAACAAGCCGUUUGAAUAAGAAGUGUCCAGAAGAGAAUGAAAGUAAGUGGUAAUCAGCAGCCCACACCAAUUAUAAAAGAACUAGAGUUGUACAGCUCAGAAUAAAACCAAAUAAAUUACUAGAAACAGCCUUUAGUAAGGCAGUUGUCUUCCAGGACUUUCCAUGUCUUCAGUACAAAGGGUCAGCAUACACGGGCAGAGCUGACCCAGAGCAGUUUCAAUUUUAUCAUGACUCCCUGAAUGUUGUUCAUUUGCUCCAUUGCAAAUAAUGGUCCCUUUUUGUCACCACAAGAACAAUAACAGUGAUACCAAAAUGCUUCUCAUGCCAUUCAGUGCAAGUCACUGCAGAGAAUUUGUUCUGACUUCUGCUUAGUUCUUGUGUCCCGAAUGCAGCAAUAUUUCCAUGGUUUCCGUGGUUAUCCUCCUUGUUCCGAGUUGCACAACUACUUUGUUUACAGCUUAUUUCUUCUAGCUGGAAACAAAUGAAUCCGAUGAGGCACCUCGGCCCUUUCUCAUUCACUGAAGCCCUGGCGAGGGUCGCAAGGAAAGCGAUGUUUGCUACCAUCUGCUGGUGAACUAGAGCUGGGAACCAAAGGAGCAUCACAGACUUGAUUUUAUGCACUACUCGAAUCCUUAACAAGAACCUGCUGAUCCAUUUGAGUAAUAUUCAUGGAAGUUAGACUUGGAAGUGUUUAGCAGCUCUAUAUGUGACAAUUAGAAACAGUGGUUACUGUUCAAGGAGAAAUGUACUGUUCUGUAAGCUGAAAACAAGGCCCAAGUAAAGAACAAGCUGAAAUUCUUCCCUAAAAGCUCUGAGCCUCCUCAUCUCUAGCUCCUCCACAGCUUUAAUAGGACCUGGAAAGCAAGCCAGCUCCUUGGACCGAUGAAGACCUUACAGUGAAUUCAACCUCAAAUAAUCCAUUACAAUAUGUGCCACAUUCAUUCUGUCCUCCUGUUGCACUGCUCUUUCAGGUGCCAUCAGGUGCCAUGAGGAUGACAUUUGACACCAUCUUACUGUCCUUCUGCUCCUGGUCUGGUCUUUGUUUUCAUGCACUAAAUCCAUAGAUCGGCCUGUUUCUGUUUGUUCUGUAUUUAAUGUGGUGGGUUUUGAUGCUGGGGAUAUAUUUAGGAACUAUGACAACAAAGUAAUAACAGACGGUUCAGUAAUGUGCUCUUACUCUUGCUGAACAGAGCAGACAACUGCAGCUCGAUGCAAGUCUAACUGAGGUUUCCAAAGCAGCAACAGGGGAGGUUAAUCUGAGCCAGAAAAGCUGUGUGCUGCUGCGCUCUUCCCACGCCUCCCACCCUACCUCCCCACCAGUCCUUUUCAUGCUGACUAACUGUGUACAACUUGCUGCAGAGAGAAAAGGAGCACUAAGCCCCUGAUUUUUCUGGUCUCCUUAUCACAGAUAUUGCCCACUUUGUAAGAUUUGAACACUGUUCCCACAUCCUUAGGGAGGGGUUUACAUCAUUAUUUCCUAAUAGCCUUCCAGGCAAUAGGUCCCUGCCCCAACGGCCGUAACUGCCAGGGAGACGGGGCCAUUGUGCGGCUUUCCAAAGUUGGCAACAAUGCACGUUUGGGUCGGGCUCCAACUGACUGCAAAGCUGCCCCCAGCUCAUUUAUCUGUCCAUGUCAGGGAGAUAAAGUGCAGCAUCAUUUGGCAAGUAAGCCCCGAGUUAGGUUGAUACCCAUCAAGUGAAUUUCCUGGCCUUGAAUAGAAAGCCAUAAACCAGCAGUUUUUGCUGCUUUCUCCCAUACAGUUCAGACAGGAUUCAACAAAGCCAAACCAGCAGCUGUAGGAGAAAAUCAAUAGGGUUCGAGUAUAGCUAAGCCUCCAUGAGCAAAUACACUCUGUAACUAAAUCUGCUGGUACCCUGUGAAUUUGAAUUGCAUUUAUCUAAGCAGCAUGUUGUCUGUUCACGGGUUAGGAAAUGAGUGGUAGGAGCUCGUAGGUGUAUCAAUAGCUGCAUGAUCUUUUUACUUGCUCUUAAAGCCAGAUAUAGGACACAAAAGCACGACACAAGACUCCCCAAGUGUUAGCAGCAACUGAUUGAAAAUGCAACAGUAAUUCAAGUGAGCAAAACCUGAAAAGCCCUUUGAAGAAGGAUUCUGGCCAAGCUGAUGCCGGCUGCAGUCUGAUUUUUGUAACCCACGCACAUCUCAGAUUACUCAGCCCUUUGCUCUGCUGGCCAGCUACACACCUGUCAACAGAUGGAGAAGUACCAGCAGCCUGUUCUCUAAGGAGCAGGGAAAUGAGCGGAGGCAGACUGACACAGAGAGGUGAGAAAGAGAAGCCCAGUCCCCUCCUUCGGGGUUUGUAAUAAAGAUGCUCACAGUUUAUAGUAGUGAUUCUUUUUGCUUUGGCUUUCAGGCACUGGUGCCUGUGUGAACAGCCAUGUUCAACUCUGAGCCUUUUGCCCUUGCCAGCUUGAGCCCUUUUCCGCUGUUACUUCCCUCUAGUUGUCCUGUGUCCAUACCCUCCCCCGCUUCUAAUUAAACCAGUUUUUCAAAACAAUGUAUUGAAAAAGCAGUGGCGUUUAUGCCCCACAGACUGAAAUGUCUGAAGCAGGACUACUGUCCUUUUUUCAUUAAAAUAUCAUAGAAAUAAGUAUUUUACAGAUAAUUUAAAUAGGGUGAAAUAAUUUCCACCAAUACUUCCAACCAGUAAUUAAUUUCUAAGGGAAACAAACACUGGCACUGCACAGCAUAGGGUAGAAAGGUAACAAUCUGGGACAGAACUUGCUCUGUUCCUCUCAGCCCCAAGACACCUGCUACAGAGCUGCUGCAGCAUCCUUGUCCCACAACACCAUGCAAGACUCAUCUACUGGUCAUGCUGUGCUAUGUGGAAAAGCAGAACAUGUCAGCAUUAUCUGUGGACUGGGUCAUUUACUAUUGAAGGAAAAGACUUAGCAGUCUGAAAGCAGACAUCUCCAUCCUCCCUCCUCCAGAAGAAAUGUGACCUCUUUCAACUUUAAAGGAUUUAAAUUAACUUGCAAUACCAGCGCUGUUCUGGCUGACACAAGGACAUAAGCAAAGUGAGGCUGUGGAAAAACAGUCUUUCAUUAGCCUCUAACUGUCAAAAUGGAAGAUUUGUGCACCUGAAACCACGUCAGAUUUUUUCCAGCUGUAAUAACUGACCAAUAAAACAUACUUACUCCCUCCACAAAGCUUUCCCUAAAUGACUUUGAAUUACUUAUGUAAACUCUACUGCAAAGCUAUCUCUUCUGCUAGCUUGGCAUCCCGUCUUGGUUUUUUCAUGUAAUUGUGCCCACUUUCUUACCUAUUUUUUAUUUAGUUCAUCAAUAAAUAUACUAAAUUUUACAAAGUUA